GGGCAGCACAGACACUAAAAUUGGAACGAUGCAGAGAAGGUUAGCACGACCCCUGAACAAGGAUAACAUGCAAAUUCAUGAAGCUUCCUCAUUUUUA
ensembl:snRNA U6 U6 spliceosomal RNA